rnacentral:rRNA from 1 species
UACCUGCGCAGGCUCACCAUGCAAGUCGAACGGUAACAGGCAGCAGCUUGCUGCUUCGCUGACGAGUGGCGGACGGGUGAGUAAUGUCUGGGAAACUGCCUGAUGGAGGGGGAUAACUACUGGAAACGGUAGCUAAUACCGCAUAACGUCGCAAGACCAAAGAGGGGGACCUUCGGGCCUCUUGCCAUCGGAUGUGCCCAGAUGGGAUUAGCUAGUAGGUGGGGUAACGGCUCACCUAGGCGACGAUCCCUAGCUGGUCUGAGAGGAUGACCAGCCACACUGGAACUGAGACACGGUCCAGACUCCUACGGGAGGCAGCAGUGGGGAAUAUUGCACAAUGGGCGCAAGCCUGAUGCAGCCAUGCCGCGUGUAUGAAGAAGGCCUUCGGGUUGUAAAGUACUUUCAGCGGGGAGGAAGGCGAUAAGGUUAAUAACCUUGUCGAUUGACGUUACCCGCAGAAGAAGCACCGGCUAACUCCGUGCCAGCAGCCGCGGUAAUACGGAGGGUGCAAGCGUUAAUCGGAAUUACUGGGCGUAAAGCGCACGCAGGCGGUCUGUCAAGUCGGAUGUGAAAUCCCCGGGCUCAACCUGGGAACUGCAUUCGAAACUGGCAGGCUAGAGUCUUGUAGAGGGGGGUAGAAUUCCAGGUGUA